CGACCAGCCAUCUGGGAAGGAGAAGUAUAUCUUGCUUUCAACAUUUGUUGGAAGACCAAGUAGUGAUGAAGUCAACGAUGCCUUCCUUGGGAAACCGAGAAAUCAAGUCAAGAACACAUCCGGAAUAUGUUUCUUGAGCCGUAUACUGCAGCAGACAGGAAGCUGCGCAUAAAGUACGACUUUACUUCUCCGCCCCGAUGAAUCUAUAAGCUCGCCCAUUGAAUUCCAUUCUUUUUGUAUAGAGUAUCUUUAAAUAGAUGUCCGAAUAAUCAGGUUGAAUGAUUGUGCCGU